GCAAAUGUGCCUCAGUGGUCUGUCUAGUGGUAGAGCACGAUCCUUGGAUAGGAUGAAACGUGGGUUCGAUUCCCGCCUGAAGUCGUGUUUUUGCU